GAGACACUAGUAAACCCGAAAUUACACCGCUUUGUCAAGGCGGAGUUGCAGGUUAAACUCCUGCGUGCCUCA
rnacentral:tRNA from 1 species